rnacentral:rRNA from 1 species
UACGUAGGGCGCAAGCGUUGUCCGGAAUUAUUGGGCGUAAAGAGCUCGUAGGCGGUCUGUCGCGUCUGCUGUGAAAUCCCGGGGCUCAACCCCGGGCCUGCAGUGGAUACGGGCUGGCUGGAGGCAGGCAGGGGAGAACGGAAUUCCUGGUGUAGCGGUGAAAUGCGCAGAUAUCAGGAGGAACACCGGUGGCGAAGGCGGUUCUCUGGGCCUGUUCUGACGCUGAGGAGCGAAAGCGUGGGGAGCGAACAGG